CAGUGUUAGAAGGUGUUUGUGUGUUAGUGCUCCGUAAGAUGUGCCUGCUCAUUACUUCAUUUGUUAAUAACUGUUCAUCACUAUGGGUUUUGCGUAGCUGUUAGCAAGAAAGUGGAAUCUUUUCAGUUUCAAGGUUCAGUGACGUAGGUUAUCGUUUAUUGGUGAGAAGAGUGCCGGCCGCUACUAUCUAUUACUGCUGAUAAGCUGCUCCGUUAUCUCGAUUGCUGAUAUUUCUGCUGGUGCCAUUACCCGCUGUGCGGUAUUUAGGUGUAACGUCCUCUGCGAGUCUCAGUGAGGCGCUCUCUCAG
rnacentral:lncRNA from 1 species